rnacentral:rRNA from 1 species
CCUAGUAACGGCGAGUGAAGCGGCAACAGCUCAAAUUUGAAAUCUGGCCCUCGGGUCCGAGUUGUAAUUUGUAGAGGAUGCUUUUGGCGCGGUGCCUUCCGAGUUCCCUGGAACGGGACGCCUUAGAGGGUGAGAGCCCCGUACGGUUGGACACCAAGCCUCUGUAAAGCCCCUUCGACGAGUCGAGUAGUUUGGGAAUGCUGCUCUAAAUGGGAGGUAAAUUUCUUCUAAAGCUAAAUAUUGGCCAGAGACCGAUAGCGCACAAGUAGAGUGAUCGAAAGAUGAAAAGCACUUUGAAAAGAGGGUUAAAUAGCACGUGAAAUUGUUGAAAGGGAAGCGUUUGCGACCAGACCUUUUCUUAGCGGAUCAUCCGGUGUUAUCACCGGUGCACUUCGCCAAGUUGAGGCCAGCAUCGGUUUUCGUAGGGGGAUAAAAGCCUGGGGAAUGUGGCUCUUUCGGGAGUGUUAUAGCCUCUCGCAUAAUACCCUUAUGGGGACCGAGGACCGCGCUUUAUGCAAGGAUGCUGGCGUAAUGGUCGUCAACGACCCGUCUUGAAACACGGACCAAGGAGUCGAACAUUUGUGCGAGUGUUUGGGUGUUAAACCCUCACGCGUAAUGAAAGUGAACGGAGGUGAGAGCCCUUACGGGGGUGCAUCAUCGACCGAUCCUGAUGUCUUCGGAUGGAUUUGAGUAAGAGCAUAACUGUUCGGACCCGAAAGAUGGUGAACUAUGCGUGGAUAGGGUGAAGCCAGAGGAAACUCUGGUGGAGGCUCGCAGCGGUUCUGACGUGCAAAUCGAUCGUCAAAUCUGCGCAUGGGGG